rnacentral:lncRNA from 10 species
AAGACCUAGAAAGUAAUCCCUGCUGCCCUUUCGCUGGCCCAGGAAGGGGUAAAUCACAGAUCAGUGUCAGAGGUGCGAUGAAAACCCAGGAGUUCUGAUUCCUGGGUCACCAUGCUCCCUUUGCCAAGGGUGGAGCCGACACCAACAGACUCUUAGCUCCUGUGCCCUGUGCAUCCUGGUGUUCGUGCACGUGCUGCACGGAAGAGCUGCAUCCUGGGACAAUUUUAUGGCUGAUGAGAACAUAUCCUGAUCCACUCCACAUUUCAGUGUAACCUUGCAGUAUACCUGUAACACUGGAGGCACACAUCUCUUCCCUAGCAGCCCUUAAGAACCUGAAUGGUAGAGAGAGGGAGGAUCACAAAAGUUUGCUUCCAGCUCUAUACUCACCCACAGAUCAACGAGGGGCAAGGAUAGAAGCAGAGACAUCAAUGGAGAAGAGGCUAUAGAAAGAUUCUGAGCAAGAAAUGACAAUGGGUUGGUAAUGGUAGUGCAGGUGAUAAGAAGAAGUCACGUUCCAGAUGUACUUUUUCAGAUCAUUUGCUCUGGAGAAAGCCAGCAGGCAUGAGAGGCCCAUGUGGUGAGGAACUGAAGCCUCCUGCCCACAGCCACAUGUGUGAACUUAGAAAUUAGAAGAUCUUCUAGCCCAGUCAAUGGCUGUACAAUGGCUACAACCCUGGCUAAUACCUUGACUUCAACCUCACGAAACACUGAGCUAGAACCACCCAACUAAGCUGUUCCUAGAUUCCUCACCAUCAGGAACUGUGUGCUGUAAAAAUGCUUGUUAUUAUAAGCCACUAAAUUUUGAAGUGUUGUGUGACACAACAAUCUGUAAAUAAUUCAGAAUAGUAAAA